GGAUUGAAAAAGGCCCAGUUGUGUCCACCUCUGCAGAAAGGCUGAUGGAAAGGUCAGUCAUUUAUUCCAAAUCUGAUCUAGUAAGGGAAGGAAAUGAUUCUGUUGCUGUAAACUAACUCUUCAAUUCUUUUCCUCCUUUCCCCUUAGAUUUCAGUUCUGAGUCAACAUGAAGAAAAUGUCCAGUGUUUAAUAGAUAAUAAAUAGAUAUUCUUAAACUGUUUUCAAAAGAAUGGGUAUCCUGCUAUAGAAGAAAGAAAUAACUUUCCAAGAUGACCAUUAUUUCUGAGUCUAGAAUAAAGGACACUGCCACUACAAUUGGUGAAGGAGGAAGAGCAUUCAUAUGAAUCAUUCUAUUCUUUUAACCAACAAGCACUGCAUUGCAUGCGUGCAUACAAGAGAACUGCUGGGCUUGGAUCUAUAUUGCUUCUUCCUGAUGGACAUCUAACUAGCCUUCAGGGACAUCUGGCUGACCUCCUGGGAAAUCAGGCUGACACCUUGAGACAGAAGUCUGCUGGUGUUGGUUUCAAAAUAGAAGAGCCAGAUAACAGCAAAAGCAGGCAUUCCUGGCUUCUACCUGCUCAAGAAAAAAGAUGGGACAGGAAAAUCCGUCUCCAAGUAAGAUUCUCUGAGAGCUUCUCUGAGAAUGGGCUAUCAUCACCAGAUACACCCAGGUCUCCCUCCUGGGCAGGGAGCUGGCCCAAGGACUAGCUGCUCCGUUGAGAGCUGGAGUGAGACUUUAACCACUGAGGCUGCUUACUCAGGCUACAGCAUCUCCCAAAGCUGCCACUUUGGCUCCUCCCAAACCACGAGAGCUUCAGCUCCACUUCAGCUUUGUAUCCUCCCCAGGUCAAUGUGUCAGGGAAGCACAAGCCAGUGUGGAUCUUCCUGGGCCCUGCAUGGAAUGCAAGGGGCAGAGAAUUAUGGCUCAUGUACUUCCUUUUGUGGAUAAGUGAAGUCACCACUGCGUG
rnacentral:lncRNA from 1 species